rnacentral:rRNA from 1 species
ACUCAAAUGAAUUGACGGGGGCUCGCACAAGCGGUGGAUCAUGUGGCUUAAUUCGUCGGUAAACGAAAAACCUUACCAGGGUUAGAAAUCCAAUCGAAUACUAGUGGAAACAUUAGUAGUCCUCACGGACGGUUGGACAGGUGAUGCACGGUCGUCGUCAGUUCGUGGCUUGAGUUGUUCCCUUCAGUGGGGAAACGAACGCAACCCUCGUUGCCUGUUACAAGUGUCAGGCGAGACUGCUCCCUCACGGGAGAGGAAGGUGAGGAUGACGCCAGAUCAGCAUGUCCCUCUGAUACCCUGGGCUGCACACGUGAUACAAUGCUAUCGACAACAGGACGCAAUGUCGUAAGACGGAGCAAACCCUUAUAAACGAUAGCCCAAUUCGGAUUGAGGUCUGCAACUCGACCUCAUGAAGUCGGAAUCGCUAGUAAUCGCAGGUCAGCACACUGCGGUGAAUACGUUCUCGAGCCUUGUACACACCGCCCGU